rnacentral:lncRNA from 1 species
AUUUCAUGUGAACUUGGAUUACUAUAUGGAAAUGGAGAAUUGUAAUGUAGCACCUUCAACAGAAAGACAAUCAAAGGUAUACAUCCUGACAGGUUCAGACCCCUGAAGGAUCUGUUAGACAAUGUCCAACACUCCAGUGAAAGAAAAUACAGAGUAAGAAAGUGUGGGAAUCAUAAAGGAAGGCAGAACCAAAAGACAGAGGGAUCUUGGGCCAUGAGUCACAGCAAGGAAAGCCUCCCACCAAACAUCUGCACUGGACUCCUACAGGAACAAGAAAUGAACUACCGUGUUCAGCCCCUGAGACUUGGGCUUAACAUGAUUUUCACAUUGUCUACCCUACCUAAUAGAGCAGAGAUGUAAAUAUUAUUCUUAUUUUAGAGGUGUGAUGCCUCAGCUGCAAUGGCUGAGAACUAUUACUCAUUUAUUCUCUUCCAAGGUAAUAAAAGAGAAUGGACCAAAGACAGUCUGUCAUCACAUCUAGUCAAAAGAGCUAAUGUCGCAGUACAACUCUUCAAAAGAAAAAGAAAAAACAAGAAAAAAGCAAUAAACAGAUGUGUUCUGCU